GGUCUUGCCUGCCCAGUGACUCUUUAAACGGCCGCGGUAUCCUAACCGUGCAAAGGUAGCAUAAUCACUUGUCCCCUAAAUAGGGACUGGAAUGAAUGGCUAAAUGAGGACUAAACUGUCUCUUGUAGGUUGGCCAAUGAAAUUGAUAUCCCAGUACAAAAGCUGGAAUAAAUACAUAAGACGAGAAGACCCUGUGGAGCUUUAAAAUCAAGCCCACCAAAUAUGGCCCUUGAAUUUUCAGUUGGGGCGACUUUGGAGUAAAACAAAACCUCCAAGAAAACUUUUAUUAAGAUCAACACACCAAAAUAUUAAUACAGACCCAGCAAUACCCUAUCCAAUUGCCUGAUUAACGAACCAAGUUACCCCAGGGAUAACAGCGCCAUCCCCUUUUAGAGUCCUUAUCGACAAGGGGGUUUACGACCUCGAUGUUGGAUCAGGACACCCCAAUGGUGCAGCCGCCAUUAAAGGUUCGUUUGUUCAACGAUUAAUAGUCCUA
rnacentral:rRNA from 1 species